CAAUAUUUUCAAAAAGUUCACCUGUAGCAUUUGACUAUUUGUAAUUAGUGUUGAGAACCCGCAAUACAAGGUUAAACUAUUUAGCCAUCAUAUUGUAAUAUCUCUUUGCAUAUUCACACUCAGAAAAAAAUGAUAGCCUAAAAAAGUAACUAGCAACAUAGAUUAGCAAAUGGUCAAAAAAGGAAAAAUGGUCCAAGAUUCCCUGAGAAGGAAAAGAAAAACAAAGCCUAGGUACAACCAGGCUGAUACACUAACAGGCUAAGGUUGAACAUGUCAAACGCUCAUGAGAUAAUGUUAAAUCAGAAAAGCCUGCAAAAAUUGCAUUGAAAAAGGCAACUUACAGCAGCAUCUCCGUUGAAUCAGAAGCGUAUAAGAACACUCUUUAAACAGUCAACGACAUUUGAAAUAACACCAGAGUUACACUAUUAAUCAAGAAGCCCUCUUAGGAGGUGCCAUGUUUUUAAUAAGAGAAAUGGUUGUACCAAUAACGAAAAAUUGUACCACAAAUCCUGCAGAACAAGGACAUGGUCAAUACACCAAUUGUAUGCAGCAUAUGAUGAGAACCAGCUUUGCAAUAUGAAGCUCACCUAGUAGGACAGCUGCAAUCUUUAGAGUCUCCAAACUUGUAAAAUUUUGAAAAGCCUACAGAAAAACAUCAGUAGAUAUUUUUCAAUCAAGCCAAAAUGAUAGCAAGAAAUCAGAAAGAAACAAAUACACAAUAACAUCGUUAGAUUACUUUUAAUCAUGCCCAAAUAAUAGCAAGAAAUCAAAGAAAGAAGCAAAUACACAAAUAACAUCAUUAGAUUACUUUUAACCAAGCCCAAAUGAUAGCAAGAAAUCAAAGAAAGAAGCAAAAUCACAUAAAAUCAGAAGGAACAACUAACUUCUUGCAAAUGAGAGAGGAUUAUUUUAAGUGGUUUGACUAGUUUGAAAGAAGGAAAAAGUGAAUUGUCUGUAAAGAUAGUGUUUUGUGAACUUCAAAUAAGUUAUCGUACUUAUUGCUUGAUUCCAUUCUUUUACUUCCAUAUUAACCAAUAAACCCCUAAGAAAGCUAUUUGAAAAUUGGAAUACUGUCAAAGCCACUUUCCAACAUCAUGGACAAUGAGAUAGAACUAUCAAGUGGUCACUUUGAUGCUAAAAAGAGGCAACCAUAUAGUGAAAGAGGGAAUGAGAGCUGGUGAACACAGCAGGGGAUCUUCGACAAAGGAUACAGAGGGAAUGAAGAGACGGGUGAACACGAGCAGGGAAUCUUCAACAAAGGAUACAAAGGGAAUACCAGGUGGUGAGGGUGAUAGUAAGGAGGGGCGACAACAGAGUCUUAAGGAAGAGGAAGAGAAAAGUGGAACCCUUUUUUUUUUCUCCUUUUCUCAUUGGGCAUAAAUAGAGUAAAAGGAACCAUAACAAGCUACCUUCCUUCAAACAAGAACUGUCACAAACAACCAGCAUAUAUGGAUGUUGAGAUAUUUUGGUCUCUCUGUGGAUUAGUGACUCGGGUUAUACUCUCCUUUUACCCUUUUUCAGAAACGGGGUGGAGGAAGGACUAGCAUUAUAAACUUAUCUAUUUUUUAAAACAAGUUGACGAGAAACUACCAGAAAGACCAUACUCUUGCAAUAAAAUUAUCCACGGUGUAAAUGGGGAGAUAAAUGGAUGGCUACGGCCCUGCUGAAAGAUCAGUUCCCUGAACUGUUUGCAAUUGCCCAAUACAAGUAAGCUUCCUUGGCUUAUCUGAGAUUAGCAUAUCUGGAGGAUAUAAUUCAGAAGGAAUUUUAACGAUUGGGAACUGGAUAGAG
rnacentral:lncRNA from 1 species